rnacentral:rRNA from 1 species
GACGAACGCUGGCGGCGUGCUUAACACAUGCGAGUCGAACGGAAAGGCCCUGCUUUUGUGGGGUGCUCGAGUGGCGAACGGGUGAGUAACACGUGAGUAACCUGCCCUUGACUUUGGGAUAACUUCAGGAAACUGGGGCUAAUACCGGAUAGGAGCUCCUGCUGCAUGGUGGUGGUUGGAAAGUUUCGGCGGUGGGGGAUGGACUCGCGGCUUAUCAGCUUGUUGGUGGGGUAGUGGCUUACCAAGGCUUUGACGGGUAGCCGGCCUGAGAGGGUGACCGGCCACAUUGGGACUGAGAUACGGCCCAGACUCCUACGGGAGGCAGCAGUGGGGAAUAUUGCACAAUGGGCGGAAGCCUGUUGCAGAAACGCUGCGUGCGGGAUGACGGCCUUCGGGUUGUAAACCGCUUUCGCCUGUGACGAAGCGUGAGUGACGGUAAUGGGUAAAGAAGCACCGGCUAACUACGUG